GUUGGUUGGAGGAUGGAGACCCCUGGUAUAUAACUAUGUUUUAUAAUUAUAUGUUUGUGUAAUUUGGGGUUUCUGCCUGCAGUGACACUUUUGUGUGUGAGGCCCCAUCCAUCCUCCCCUCAAUACGGUGCAGUCGUCCUGUCCCUCUUGCAGAAAAGCAUCCAUAAAGAAUGAUGUUUCCACCUCCAUGCUUCACAGUUUGGAUGGUGUUCUUGAGGUUGCACUCAUCCUUAGUCUUCCUCCAAACACAACAAGUAGAGUUUAGACCAAAAAGCUCUAUUUUCAUCUCAUCAGACCACAUGACCUUCUCCCAUGAAUGAGUAUGUGGACAAGUGUCUUUUAUACAGGUAACAGUUCAAACCGGUGCAGUUAAUAAAAAGUGGAGAAAAGGAGGGCUUCCUGUGAGAGCUGGAAUUCUUACUGGUUGAUAGGUGAUCAAAUGCUUAUGUCAUAAACAAUAAACUGCAAAAAUAUAUAUUUUUAAAAUAUACAAUGUGAUUUUCUGGAUUGUUAUUUAAGAUUCUGUCAUUAGAGUAGAAGAGUAUACCUAAGAUAAAAAUGACAGGCUCUUACGUGGUUUGUAAGUGGGAACCUGCACAAUCCCCAGUGUAUCAAAUGCUUUUCCUCCUCACUGUAGAUAACUGAGGGGAACACUUAUUUUAAAAGUGCCAUGUUGACACUGUUUUGGAGUUGCAACUCUGAGUUCAAAUGACUGCAAACAAUCCCAUAUGAUACUUCAUCUGGUGCCCACUCUAAAGCAAAACUAUAUUCUUUCCAGUUAUUAAUUUAAAAUAACUUUCAUAUUAUCUGUAAUCGAAUGUGUUCCAUCCUACAGUUCCUCCUUUAAAACCCUUGCCUCACACUUGAAUUGCCAGGCAGGAGUUUAUUUUACUAACGUGAUUGUUUCUUUAAUCAACAUGACAAAAUAGUUUUGUCUUUUUUAUUUAUAAUACAGAGCUUAACUGUAGAGACCUACAUUUCGGUUGGAUAAAGGAGGGUACAUAAAUUAACCAAUAUCAAAAGCGUAUGUUGGUUAAUUGUUGUGGGUUUUUCCAUCUUCACACACACACACACUCGAGACCGGUGUAUGUCCUGGUUAAGACUAUCCGGGUCCCCACAUAGUCAACCCCUCCCCCACACCUAUACCCGCGCGCGCGUCUGGAGCUAAUGAUUGCAUCUCGUCACUCACUCACUGGACGAGCAGGAGCUGCAAACGCAGCAGCAAUCAGCGUGUUCGUUCUCCAAGGUAAGCUAAACACUUUUAUUUCAAAUGUAAUUCGUGUGUUAACAUCAUAACAAAUGCCACUACCAUAUAUUAUGGAGAAUGUUAAUAACAAAGCAGGCCUUGCUAGCGAUAAUUUUAACUUUGCAGUUUUCUGUCGAGUCGGGUUUAGUCAGUAUAAUGUUAGAUAACGUUAGUUUACUAACGCGCCUAUACAUGUGCAAUGUAAAUGGAAACUAUUUAGCUAACUACCACUACCAAGCUAACCGACUUAUUAGCUAGGCACGAUUGAAGCUUAAUGCAUGCCAUACAUUUUUUUUUUUUUUGCGUUUGUUGUAUAAUUUAAUCACAUGUGAUUGAUAAUCGAUAAAUGUAUGUUUUUAUGAUAUGCACACUACAGUAGUUAGCUUGUAUGUUAGGAUGGACUACUAUGACAAUUAGCAAGUUAAAUAGAGUAUAGGAUCAGUUGUCAUAACACUUCCGCACUACAGCGUGGUUGGGUUGUAUGGCGGGAGAAAAGCUGCCAUCAGGGGUAACUUAGGUUUUCACUCAUGGAGAGAAGAACUUGGACCAAUCCAGGAUGCGGAGUACCAUAUCCAAGCGGGGAUUGAUAAACCAUGUCUCCAGCGUUUUAUCAAUAAUUUUAAAGCAUUGAUGCAUGUGAAAAGGACUCCUCUCUUGGGAGACUUGUUGAUGACGACCACAGAAGACCUAUUUUUGCAAAUGAAAACCAUAAGUAAAGAAACCACACUUGUCUCUUCGCGAUUCGAGAUAUUACACCUGGAGAAGAACUGACGUCAACAACGUGACUCAAACUGGCCAUGGAGAGCACAGCCCCCAAAACACACUUCACUGGCACGGACACCCUGUUCAACAUGCCCGUCUCAGAUGAUAAUUUGCAGAGUGAGCGCUCGAAGUUGCAGGCCGGGAUUGACAAAUUAAAAACACCACAAUCGGUGUGAAACUCUGUAUGAAUCUACGGCUGAGAAGCGAAAUGCUCUUCAAAGACAGCGAACCUUACUCCUACUGCAAUUGGCAAACUUGGAUAAAAUGCUGGGCCCAGAAUCACAUCCAGUCACUUAAACAGCAGAAGAUUCUGUGAUACCCUCACCAACAGACACACAGGUAUGGUCAGAAAUUGACCAUGCAUCUCCAACCAGCGAAUGUGUACCACCACUGGAAAGAACGGAGUGUAUUUGUUGCCUUCCUUCACAACAUGGACACAUAUUCCAGCUCUGCAGAAGAUGGGAAUGUGUCCCACUCCAAUUCCAAGCUGGGCCCAGAAUCACAUCCAGUCACUUAAACAGCAGAAGAUUCUGUGAUACCCUCACCAACAGACACACAGGUAUGGUCAGAAAUUGACCAUGCAUCUCCAACCAGCGAAUGUGUACCACCACUGGAAAGAACGGAGUGUAUUUGUUGCCUUCCUUCACAACAUGGACACAUAUUCCAGCUCUGCAGAAGAUGGGAAUGUGUCCCACUCCAAUUCCAAGCUGGGCCCAGAAUCACAUCCAGUCACUUAAACAGCAGAAGAUUCUGUGAUACCCUCACCAACAGACACACAGGUAUGGUCAGAAAUUGACCAUGCAUCUCCAACCAGCGAAUGUGUACCACCACUGGAAAGAACGGAGUGUAUUUGUUGUCUUCCAAAUCAACAUGGACUAGGGUUAGGGUUCUUAACAUGAACGACACCGAAAUGGACCAACUUGCUGAUAUCCUGGGACAUGAUAUUCGUAUCCACAGGAAAUAUUACAGAUUACCCGAGGGAACACUAUUAACAGGAGUGCGUUGAGCCUGAUCCUGGGAUGGAGAGUGAAACAGAACUGUCAGAUCAU